rfam:Brevibacillus brevis NBRC 100599 DNA, complete genome.
GAGGCUGUAUCACUUCGUGAACGGUACUCCCGGAGUAUUUUUGUAUCUAUCGUGUAAUCUUAAAUCAAUACGUGCAAGGACAAAAAUCUGCUCAGAGCCUGUGUGGACCGAGACAGAAGG